ensembl:snoRNA
UCUCCAUUUCUUGGCAUACAUAUAGUUGCUCAGUAUUUGUGUAAUGUAUGGAGGUAGAACAAAGCCAGUGCUAUGUCUUCGGUGCCAGUGUGUUAUCAGCUCCUGGUCCUAUCCUCAAUCGCUGGCCUGCUU